UACGUAGGUGACAAGCGUUGUCUGGAUUUACUGGGCGUAAAGAGCGCGCAGGCGGUCGAUCAAGUCGAGUGUGAAAGCCCCCGGCUCAACUGGGGAGGGUCAUUCGAUACUGAUCGACUCGAAGGCAGGAGAGGGUAGUGGAAUUCCCGGUGUAGUGGUGAAAUGCGUAGAUAUCGGGAGGAACACCAGUGGCGAAGGCGACUACCUGGCCUGUUCUUGACGCUGAGGCGCGAAAGCUAGGGGAGCAAACGGG
rnacentral:rRNA from 1 species